UGAGGUCAGAUGUCAACAAAAAGAGGUGGAUACAAAUUUUGUAAAAGAACUUUUGUAAGAAGAUCAUGACUUUAGCAUGUGAUUCAUAUUCUGCACUUACUUAGAAUUAAAGGAAGUUACAGCCCUUCAAAUCGAAUAGUUGAAGUUCAGAUCAGAUGAAAUUCAUUCGAGAACAUAAACUGAGAAUAAAGGUGUAGAAUGUUGACAUGGAGUUUAUUAGUAUUAUUGCAGAUAAGCCAUAUUUCAUCAGAGAUCAUCAAAGUUAAUGUCUCCUCAGGAAGUACUUACCUGGACAUAUCAUGGGAGGAGACAAAGGAAGGUGUAAACUAUACCCUAGGUUACGGUAUCCCUGGCAACAUAACAAACCAGGAAAUAGACUAUACCCUGACCACAGAUAAUAUUGCUACAUAUCAGUUAGAUAAUUUAAGUCCAGGUGUUAUAUAUACGUUACAGCUGAAUAAGGAUGGCACGGAAGUUUUCAAAUCUACAGGAACUACAAAACCUCUUCCACCGUCCUCUCUUGUUGUCUCAGAUGCUGGUACUGAUUACCUAUACCUUACUUGGCAGGGAAACAGUAGAAGUACUCAGGAUUCAUACAGAGUUACGGUUACUGAAACAAACAAUAACUCAGAACUGUAUAAAUCCGACCCAAUAACAGUGGAGUAUCAUAACUUGACAGGAUUAUAUCCAGGAGCCUUGUACAGUAUAGCUGUAGAUAGUAUAAGUAAUGGUGUAUACAGUAAUGGUACUGCCAGGAUCAUUGAUAAUACAAGACCAUUACCACCAACGAUACAUUGGAUUAUGGCUAUAGAUAAUUAUACACUGAUGUUAGCAUGGAAAGAAGACUUUAAUAGCCAACAGGACCAUGUAUACUUAUCAGCUACUUAUAACAACACAUUUAAUUAUGAGGGUGAGAUGAAUCUGACCUGUACUAUGUUAUUGUCCACCUGUGUGACCGAGGUCAGGGGUGUUAUUCCUGGCACACCUAUAGAGAUCAGGGCAUACUCUGUACAAAACAACAGGAGAAGUGAUCCUGAUAUAGCUUUCCAUUCUACCAAGCCAGAGACUGUAACCAGUCUACUAGAGAAUAGUAGUACUACAUCUUCACUUGAGUUGUCAGUAACUCCACCAUUUACUUCAGUAUUUGUGAAUUACUCUGUCAGUAUUGAUGAUGGUUACUUCUACUUUAGAAACUAUACUUAUCCAGCAAGUCACACAACAUUUACUAUAGGGAAUCUGUCAGCAGGGAUAGAGUAUAAUGUCUCUGUUGGUACUGUAUCUGAAUGGGAAGAAAGCAGGAACCAAUUUAGUAGGAUUUUCUAUACAAAUCCUAGCAUGCCAGGAGAUAUAGAUAUUUUAACCAAGGAUAUCCUAACUACGUCACUGAAGAUAUCCUGGGGACCUGUGGAGAGUGGACAGCUGGAUUAUUAUGAAGUUGAAAUUUCCCCUAAAGAAUCUCAGACUCAUUCACCUUUUCUCCAGACCAAUACAGAUGAACGAACUGUAAAAUUUGAUUCUCUGGUCCCAGGGAGGAAAUACUCCAUCACAGUCACAGCAGUAAAAGGACAGAAGAAAAAUAGUACAAAGACGGUGGAACAAUAUACCAAACCAAAUCCUCCAUCUAAGAUCUUACACACUGUAAUUGGAGGUCGUGAGAUACAUUUAGACUGGUUCAAGCCUACAGUAGGAGAAGUUGAGAAUUACACAGUCAGUAUCCUCUCCCUUGGUAUAAAUGGCACUACGAACACCACCCUACCAAUAGCUCCAAUCACCUUACAGGGGACAUCAUACAGCUUCACACAGCUCCACCCAGGAGAGACCUAUGAGAUAUCUAUUGUUUGUAGGAGUGGUGGAGUUACCAGUGAUCCCCUCAAGAUUACAGCAACUACAAAUUCAACGUCAGUAUCAGAAUUAUUUGUUGACCAUGUAACAGAAGACUAUAUAAAUAUAUCUUGGUCACGGCCAGAGAACUUGACCUUCCAGACAUUUAAACUGGCCAUUAAUCCACCAGAUAGUACCACACCUCUUUCUAUACAAGAAUCAGCUGGGAUAUUGUUUCAUAGUUUUACAGGACUACAUCCAGGAACAGUAUAUAAUUUGUCUAUCUAUCUUAUAUCAGGGACAACUGUUAUUGAUAAAUCUGAUAGGACAGCCAUUACAAAUCCUUUACCAGUAGAUGAUAUUAACAUUACAACACAUGAUUCCAGCAGCCUACUUAUUGAUUGGUCCAUUACAAAACCAUUACAACAACAUCAUUUUGAAAUUGUGUAUGAAGAGAAUAAUGAUUCAGAAAAUAUCACAUUACCUAUGGUGCUAGCUCUUCAUGACAAAACAAGUUACCAAUCACAUAUCAUGAGGCUAACAGCUGGAUCCCUGUAUACAGUUCAUAUAAGAGCUGUACAAGAGUUUAAUGACCUGAAGAGUUACAGUUCCUGGAUUACUAUGAACAAAACCACAAAGCCCAAUUCAGUAACUGAAUUGAAGGCAGCAGUUUCUGGUCAAGAUGUCAUGUUGUCAUGGAAACCAAACAUCAACAGUACCCAGGACAGUUUCUAUAUCUGGUAUAGGCCAAUAUUAAAUCUCUCAUCCUUUUGGAGACAGACAUUCACACGUGACUUCCAGACGACCUUGAAAGGAAUGUUUGCAGGGGAGAGAUACGAGUUUAUAGUAUUUGCAGUCAGUAUUGGAGAAAUGAGUUUACCCAGAAAUGUCUUUGCUGAAGUUUUACCUCUGUCUCCAGAAGGUGUCACUACCUCAGACAUCUUGACAGAUUCUGUCACAUUAACAUGGUCAUACAACAAAUCAUCAACCUUUAUUGAGGAGUUUGAGUUGACCUACACUGGUUACCAUAGUGAUAGUGAGGGUGUGAUAACUGUAGAUGGUGGGAAUUCUACAUCUUCUGUUACCCUUAAUAGUCUGAUUUCUGGAGAGAGCUAUGAGAUCAGUAUUACAAGUCAAACAGGAAAUCUGACAUCAGAAGCCACUUCCAUGAAUGUUACAAUCAAGCCUGAAUGUUUGACAGCAUUACUGGAGAAUACAGCCUUGACUACAAGUGAUGUCAUUACUAUCCAGUAUACAGCUGUAUUAAAUCAGUUUGAUCAUUAUCAAUUUACUCUUGUCAAUGAUACACAAAGAUCACCUGUAAUAAAGAGCAGAAGUGAUACAAACAGAAUGGUCACAUUUGACAGAUUGAAAGGUGGAAGUUUGUAUGUUGUUGGUGUGUUGACAGUCAGUAACACACAGAUCAGUGAUAUAAGGAGUAUCUCCAUAUUCACAGCCCCAAACAGGCCUCAUGUAGAACAGAUCAGCACUGCUACAGAGAUAACACUGAUUAUUAACAAGCCAUCAGGUCGUGUAGACAGUUACCUGAUCAUAUGUGCACUGCACUCGUCUCCAUGUGGCAGUCAUACAAUAGAUGCCAAUAAAGAUAAAAUUACUCUACCUUUUGUAAAGCUGACACCAUAUCAGAAAUAUAAAUUCCAGAUCGUUACUUUUGCUGGUCUGAAAAAUGUGUCUUUCUUUAUGAAUAUAGAAACAGCACAAGCAGCACCAUCUGUAGUACAGAAUUUACAUGCUAAAGAGACAAAGCCAAGGGAAGUAGUCUUGACCUGGAAUGCCCCCAGGGUCACAAAUGGAAUAAUUACAGCUUAUGUUGUGGAAUAUCGGGGAAGAAGGAAUGACAUGGAACCUGUGAUUGACUCUAACGUAAGAACUAUCAUGGUAGACUCUACAUCAGCCUUCAUUGAUCCUAUAACAUACACACUCAAAGAUUUAACAGCAGGACUUAAAUAUAUAUUUAUGGUUUAUGCUAAGACUGUUACAAAUGGUCCUUCAGUGUCCAGUCUUCUUACAACAAGAACGUACAACCCAAUACUUAAGGAUGGAAUUAGUUCAGACAUGGCUGCCCCUAAACCUCCGGAAGACUCAACCUCUUCUGUAACACCGUCAACGAUAACUGCAAGAUUUACUAAUGCAUUCUCUGAGGACCAUGGGGAGAUAAUUCAGUACACCAUUAUAGUAGCUACCAGUACUGAUGAGGACUAUCUAAAUACCAACACCCUACCUGGAUGGAAGGCUUAUCAGAAUGACCCGUCCAUCAAAGCUUAUCAAGCCGUUUCUAAUUGUUCUGACUUCUUUGUACUGGAGUCUACAUGUAAUGGUCAUUUACAUGUUCAGAAAAGGAGUGUUGGGGAAGAGGAGUAUAAAACGUUCGUAAUCGGCAGUGAAACAAACUGCAAAGAUCCUCAUUAUUGUAAUGGACCUUUAAAACAGAACACCGAAUAUUACAUCAAGCUACGGGCCUACACAACUGGGGGACAUGCAGAUACAGUCUAUUCUCUUCCUUUCAAAACAGGUUCUGUAACAGAAGAAAGUAGUUAUGGAGGAAUCAUUGGUGGUAUUGUGGCAGCCGUUGUUAUCAUUGCUCUUAUUCUAUUUGCUGUUUUGUUCCUACGGAGAAAUAUCAGAUCAAAGAGUAACAUGUAUAGACAAGGUCAUGACCACAGGAUGACUCCUAGGUCAUCAAUGAGAAGUCACAAGAAAAAGCAUGAAAUAAACAUUGUAAACUUUAGAGACCAUGUGUUGACAAUGUCUGCUGACUCGGAUUUCAAGUAUGCUGAGGAAUUCGAGGAUUUGAAGGAAAUUGGGAGGGAGCAAUCAUGCUCAGCAGCAGAACUUCCAGUAAACCGUGGCAAGAAUAGAUUUACUAAUAUUCUACCAUAUGACCACUCCAGAGUCAAAUUACUACCAACAGAUGACGAAGAAGGAUCUGAUUAUAUCAAUGCUAAUUAUAUGCCUGGUUUUAAUUCGAAGAGAGAGUAUAUAGUGACACAAGGACCACUACCAUCUACAAGAGAUGACUUUUGGAGAAUGAUCUGGGAACAGAAUUCUAGGAAUGUUGUUAUGUUAACUAAAUGUGUAGAAAAAGGAAGGGAAAAAUGUGACCAGUAUUGGCCAUCAGGAUCAGAUGCCAUGUUUUAUGGUGAUAUACAAGUAGCUGUUCUGAAUGAGACAAAGUUUCCAUCAUGGACAGUUACAGAGUUCAGGAUUGCUCUGGGAGAUUUGACCAGACAAGUCAGACAUUUCCAUUUCACAGCUUGGCCAGAUUUUGGUGUUCCUGAUAAGCCACAAACAUUGAUAAGAUUCGUCAGAAUAGUCAGGGAAAAAUUAAUCAGGGAAUGUGGACCUAUUGUUGUUCACUGCAGUGCUGGUGUCGGAAGAUCUGGAACUUUCAUUGGCCUAGACAGACUACUACAGGACAUAUUAGAUCGUGAUAUUAUAGAUAUAUUUAAUGUGGUGGCAGAGAUGAGGAGAGAGAGGGUCUGGAUGGUACAAACAGAGCAACAAUAUGUAUGUAUACACCAGUGCCUUAUGUGUGUAUUAGAUGGUAAAGAAGAAGAACACGUGUAUGUUAACUCAGGAAACGUCAAUCAGGCAUUUGAAGGUAAGACAUUGAAACGUCAAUCAGGCAUUUGAAGGUAAGACAUUGAAACGUCAAUCAGGCAUUUGAAGGUAAGACAUUGAAACGUCAAUCAGGCAUUUGAAGGUAAGACAUUGAAACGUCAAUCAGGCAUUUGAAGGUAAGACAUUGAAACGUCAAUCAGGCAUUUGAAGGUAAGACAUUGAAACGUCAAUCAGGCAUUUGAAGAUGACGAAGGUAUCAAUGUUGAAGUGUCUUAAUCAGUGAUAUAUACACGAGAUGAUUCCUGUAUGUAAUGGAUCUGUUUUCAACAGUAGUGACUUUGAAUUAUAUGUUGUCACCUUAACAACUAUCUGUGGAGCUCAUUAUAGUAGAGGAAGAGUUCCAUUCAUUUUUUAUUCAAAUACUGAAGGUUUGGAAGAAGAUAUUUAUAUGCAAGAAUUUAUCCUAGAUUCUCAUGAAUAGAUUUUGCAGUGGAUACAUUCUAGAGAUCUGUAAUUUCUGUAUUGAAUAUUUGACCUGUUAAACUAACUAGUCUGUAUCUGCUGUUUUGAAAAAAAUAUUUAGGCCACUCAUUGUCUUCAAGUCUAAAUCUUGUCAUUACCAUGCAUAUAAAAUGUAUUUAUAAAGCUGUGGAAAUUUUAUUUUUUCACAAAUGAAUUAUAAAUAUAAACUUACUGAAGAUAAAUGUAUAAAAUAGAUACACAGAUCAUGUCAUAAACGCAGGAUGGUUUUAUGACUUUGCUCAAUUCAGGAUAUUAUGAAAAUAAUCUCUACUUUCAGACCAUCGUCUUAUUGUGAAUUUAGGCUAAUGGCUUCUUGAAAAGUUUAACAUGGGAACAAACCUUCAGUUAGAUGGCAAGCUACUUAAACAUUUUUUCAUUUGAUUAAAAUGUGUUAUUGAAAAUAUUUGUAAAUUCUUGGCUGUGAUUGUUGAAUUUGAUGAAUGUUUUUAUCUUGUGCAACGAAAAUUGUUAUUGCAUGGAGUCAUGUGCAGUUCAUAGUCCCUGUUAGAAGGAUAGUUUUGUAAAUAGGUUAGAAGUUAAAAUUGCAAUGAAAUAUUUUGUACUAAAAUAUUGUGUUAAAUAUUGAAAAAUAUUAUAACAAAGAGAAAAUUAUAAAACAAAUACUGUUCCAAGUAAAAAUAUGGUCAUUAUAUUAUGUUCUGUUCUUGUUAAAUUUUGACAGUCAAUUCAUGUUCAAAUCAUGUUAGUUAUUAUACAAAAGUGAUUUUAUUGUAACCACCAUUUUGAAAAAAUUUUUCAUAUACUAAAAAAAAAACCUGAUAAGGAACCUAUCACAAUUAUCUUGGUGCUCAAACAUUGAUAAGCCUUUGUCAUAACAUCAUUAUCAAACUAAAUAUGAACAAAAUCACAGAAUUUUGGUUAAAUUUAAAAUCCAGAAUAUUCAGAUUAUUUUGUAUUCUUUUUCAUAAUGAUAUGGUUUUUUUUUAAUUUGAUUCAUAGCCUGUGCCUUUUUGUAAAGAAAAUUUUGAUAAAAUUGUAUUCAAUUGAUGUCUAUGAAUCUAGAGAAUAUAUAAUUCUAUAGAUUAUAAAUAUAGAAAUGAUCUAGAAAAAUACUAUCUUACACCAAACUUACAAGAUAUUAUAUUUUUAAUAUUAAGAUAAGGGGAUUUGUAUAUUGAACAAAAUUUAUAGAGAUCUGUACAACGUUUUAAGAAGGUGCUAUAUUGAUGAUAUUAUUUCUAUAUAUCGUUGAAUGGAUUGAUUAUUAUUUUAAUCUUUUAUAGAACAGAUAUACAUUUGUAAAUAACGAUUUGUAAUUACAUAUUUCUGUUGAUGCGCAGUAUAUUGUAGUGAAAGUAAAACAGCAUAAGUGCCUUUUAACUUUUACAAAUUCUUUAUUUAUAGUCCGAAGCAAGACAACUUUACAAUAGAUAGGACAAGAGUUGUAAGUUCAGAAGGUCUUUCAAUAAGUGCUUAUUUUACAUUAUGAGUUCUCCAGUUUUCUGCUUUUUUAACCCUUCAUUGAGGGAUCUUUUCUAGGCUUAGCAUUUGUAAAUGCACAGUAACUCCUAUAUUUCUGCAUAGCCUAAUAUGCACAGAUAUAUAUGUAGCAAAGAAAGAAAGGCUGAAAUACUUAUUAACCUCCCUAGGCAAAGUUGACUUUAGAUGAAUUUGACUAUUCUUGUGUUUGGUCCAUUUUUGUUACUAAGAUCCUGACAUAUUCAAGUACUUAUAUCUCACUGGCUUUCAAAGUUUUGGGUUUUAGCAUUCCCGAUGAAGGUUCACCUAGAAAAGUGCUUUGUACACACAUAAUCUAAAAACUUAUUUUCAUCAUUUAUUGAAAAAAUAUUACAACACACAUAGACUUUAAUACUUUAUGUAUGAAUACUAGUCAGUUAAUGUACAUUAUAAGUAGAUGCAAUAUUGUUGCAGAUUUUUGCUGUCAUUACCACUCAGUUUAUUUUUGCCAAACAUUUAACUAGUACAUGUGUUUAUUUUACUAUUUAGUCAUUAUUGUAUCUUGUUUGUGUAUAUUUUUCUGCACCAGUGCAAUAGCAUUUUUGUGUAGUUAGGAUGUUUUACGUGCUUUUAAGUUUGGUUGUAUUAGUUUUGAAAAUAAAAUAUAACAUAUAUAUACGUGUAUUUUUGGAAGAAUAAGAAUAUAGACCCUUUUUGAAUUUAUCAUAUUCUAAGUCAAAUAUAAAAAAACCAUGGUCUGUUAUAAUAGAAAUGAUUAUGUGUUACACAUUCCAGUAAGAAGGUUUAAAGGCCCACCAUUUUUUAUUUGAUAAUCAAAAGUCUGGUGUUUUAGGGGUUUUACAUGAUUACACAACAAUUUUAGACAUUUUUUAUACUCUUUAAAAAUAUGAUUAUAGAAAAAAAGAAAACAAUAGUAAUGAAAAGAAAAGAUAUGUAGUAGAAAUCUAUACUAGACAAAACUCCAAGUAUUUGUGCAGUCUCUUUGAGGUAUAUCCUACAUCUCUUUAUUCAUCACUGAAGAUGAACAGAUGGUUGUCAUUCAAAAUGUAAUUGGAUUAUUAUUCAUUUGCAAUUUCCGAUGACAAUUUUGAAUAAAUGAUAAAUGUAUUGAUUGCUGUGUGUCAAAUUUUUCAGUUGUUUAUAAUUAUUUUUGGAUUUGGUUAAACAUCAUAGUUAUCAUAUUUUUAAUAAAUACUUAGAUUAACUCUCAUAGAAUUAUGCCAUUUAAAUAUAAUUAUGUAUUUUCUUCACAUUCCAUUAUUGAUAUUUCGUUAUAUGGAAAAGAAAAGUAUAAUUUUCCCAUCUGGUUGUGUAGAAGUUUACAGGUAUUUACAAAGAUAUUUAUGAUGAUGAUUAAAGUUGGAAAUGUUUUAUGAUAUAUCAAAUAUGGUUGAAUUUAUUAAAAUGAAUUGUAAGUAAUAUAGUAAAAACUUUGUAUGAAUUGAAGCAUUUAUUUUGUACAUUUUCUGUAUUUGGAUAAACUAUACAGACGUUGUUAUGCGAAUGUUUAUAAAGUAAUUAUCUGAUGAAACUUUUGCCAAUUUUUUUAUCAAAGAUCUGAUUUAGAAACAAAAAAUUGCUUUUACUUUAAAAGCACUGUAGUCCUUAGAGGGGACAUUAUCUUAAAACAAGGUGUAAAAAGUUUUCCUUUGUUGAGGAUUGAUGUCAACGAUAGAAGAUACCUGGUUCAGUUUGAUAAAUAAUAAAAUAGAUUUUUAGAAUUGUGGGUAUAAUAUAAAAAAGUUCAAUAUGUAUUUUUGAGAUUGUCUGGAUUUGAGAGUGAAUGCUGUAAACAGUAUUGUUUGAGGGCAUUGUUUUAUUUAUUUUUGUGUCUUAUACACACAUUUCAUAUUUUUACAAAGAUAUUUUUAUAGUAUGCAUUUAGAGUUGUAAUUGUUUUGUAAUAGACCACAACUGAUAACAUAUAUAUGUAAUAAUCUUGUUUUUAUACAAAAUGUUAUAUAAAACUUGAAAUGGCAUUGCAUUUCAACUAACAAUUUAGCUUUUCUGAAUAUAUAAUAUGGCUCCAGUUAGAUAUAAUUAUCUUACUUAUUUUAAAAUUGUUCUUGCCAAAAGUUAAGAGUUAAUCUUUUAUAAAAGAAGUGACAUUCAUGAAAUUAUCUUUACGAUAAGUUUGGAUUAAAUUAUAUUUAGAAAAACAGAAGUAUAAAGUAACCAUAUUAUAUAUACGAAAUGGAAGAGCAAAGAAGGGAAAUAUUUUGAGGUUGUAGACUUUAAGCAUUUCAGCUGUGGAAGAUAAUGAUCAUAUUCUCCUUCUGAUAAACUCAUGUUCAACAACUUUUUAUUUUAAUUAAUUUAGUACUUAGCAGUUAUUGUUUCAUAUUUCAGUGUAAUUGUUUGUUAAAAUGUGACUAUAUUUUAAUUAUAUUUUGUAAUUGUCUUUGUAAAUAAAUAUACAAAUGUG